rnacentral:rRNA from 1 species
UACGAAGGGGGCGAGCGUUGUUCGGAUUUACUGGGCGUAAAGGGCGCGCAGGCGGCUUUGCAAGACAGAUGUGAAAUCCCCGGGCUUAACCUGGGAACUGCAUUUGUGACUGCAUCGCUGGAGUGCGGCAGAGGGGGAUGGAAUUCCGCGUGUAGCAGUGAAAUGCGUAGAUAUGCGGAGGAACACCGAUGGCGAAGGCAAUCCCCUGGGCCUGCACUGACGCUCAUGCACGAAAGCGUGGGGAGCAAACAGG